UGUUCAGCCUAUGGGUCAUGUGGACUUUUACGCCAACGGAGGUCUUGUACAAAGUGGAUGUGCUGACGGUUUGGAAGAAAUCAUUCUCGACCUUUUCCACCUCAAUGGAACUAUUCUCGAAGAGCUCACCUGCAGUCACAGUCAAGCACCUGUACUGUACAUCGAAACAAUCAAGUCUUCCAGUUUUUCACAAGCAUGCCAAUUCACUUCAGUGAGCUGUGACUCACCGAACAGUUGGUUUCAAGGCAAAUGUUUCAACUGCAUAGCUAACGGUGAUUUACCUGCCUUUGGUUAUAAAUUAACAGCGCAGAAACAGUUCAAAGGACAGUACUAUUUUACAACGUUGCCAAAAAAUAAGCACCACGAAACCUACUGUGGGAAACAAUAUGGCUUCAACAUUAUACCCGAUCAAGCGGUCAAAGGUUCAAUAACGCUCACAUUAAUGUUCAGCAAUUUGCAUUCUAUGAAUUUCACCUUCCAACACAUCGAUGAAACUCUCGAAGAAAACAGUCAUGCAAUUAAAAUUGGUGCCGUUCCAGAAUUUUAUCCGGAAAUAACAAACAUUACCAUUAUUUACGAAAAAUAUUCUAGCUGGAUUUGGAAAAAUGGACCUGACGAAUGGGUAUUGAAAUCGCUCAGCUUGUUGGACAUGGAAUGCAACAUACACGAAGUGAAUCCGAACGUUCUGGUCAUCAACAAAAUGGCUACUACAGUGGACAUGUGAGACAGAUGUUGUGCAACAACAUGAUUGGUAAAAAAUAAAAAAUCAAAAUAUCGCCAAAUGUCAUAAAUGGAGAAAAAUGAAAAGCCAAAAUAUAUAGUCCGUGUCGAUGUGUGUUUCUUAUUUUCAUUUUCACGUUCAUGUACUGUUGUUAGUUUGCUAUUCAUUUAUGUCAUGCGAAACAAACACGAACAGUAGUAAUUGUUCAUCUCUCAGUUGAAACUUCCUUUAAAAUGGGUAAACAAUUACACAUGUGUAUGUACGAUAUAUGCAUAAUAAAAUGAAUGAAUGAAUAAAUAAAUAUGUAGUACAAAUCGGUAAUGUUCAGCAUGGCAAAAUAUGCACCAUAUGGGCACAUUAAAAAUGAAGGAAAGAAAAGGGAAAACAAAAGCACAACUAUUUAUUGACUAUAGCGUCGUUCGGGUACGUGAAAAUCCGAGCGACGCCUGGUAAAUCUCGUACUUGGUCGUACUGAUAUCCGCAGCAGGUCUCCAAGGUGAGUGGCCUCUGGCCGAUAGAAUAAUGUAGGUAAGGGAAGUCGGCAAAACGGAUCCGUAACUUCGGAACAAGGAUUGGCUCUAAGGGCUGGGCCGAUCGGGCUGAGGUUUCAAGCGUGCAGUGUAUGCUUGGCUGAGUUGUGUUGAGGACUUGUUCACUUGCCGCCGUUUGUUCGGUUGGUCUAGUGUAUUCGAGUCUGAAGCAGAGCUGGCCGACAGACCGGCACGUGCAGAACCUGAGCUGCGCGGCUGUCCGUUUACGUGUACAGACCGUUUCGGUCGGCAUUCAACAGCCAACUUAGAACUGGCACGGACACAAGGAAUCUGACUGUAUAAUUAAAACAAAGCAUUGCGAUGGCCGAUGAUCGGUGAUGACGCAAUGUGAUCUCUGCCCAGUGGCUCUGAAUGUCAAAGUGAAGAAAUUCAAUCAAGCGCGGGUAAACGGCGGGAGUAACUAUGACUCUCUUAAGGUAGCCAAAUGCCUCGUCAUCUAAUUAGUGACGCGUAUGAAUGGAUCAACAAGAUUCCUUCUGUCCCUAUCUACUAUCUAGCGAAACCACAGCCAAGGGAACGGGCUUGGCAAAAUCAGCGGGGAAAGAAGACCCUGUUGAGCUUGACUCUAGUCUGACUCUGUGAAGAGACAUGAAAGGUGUAGCAUAGGUGGGAGAUUGUCAAAUUGCCAUCGUUCGCGCGGUGGUCCGGUGAUCGCCAAUGAAAUACCACUACUUUGAUCGUUUCUUUACUUAUUCGGUAAAGCGAAAAAAUUGUGGCCAAUUUGGCGGUGUUUAUGUCGCUGUUGGUCAUUGUUUUCAUGUUAGAUUGAAGCUUUGUUUACAGCCGUCGCUUUGUGUCGCCAUUUGACGCAUUGUUGUACUGGGUUAUCCCGGUGUGUGGUGUAGUCAGUAUGGAUGAUCGGCGAUAGGUUUGAAGUGAUUCGCUCCGGAAACAGUGUCAGACGGGGAGUUUGACUGGGGCGGUACAUCUGUUAAACGAUAACGCAGGUGUCCUAAGGUAAGCUCAGCGAGGACAGAAACCUCGCUUAGAGUAAACGGGCACAAGCUUACUUGAUUUUGAUUUCCAGUACGAAUAGAAACCGCGAAAGCGUGGCCUAUCGAUCCUUUUGAUUGUGUAGAUUUCAUGCAAGAGGUGUCAGAAAAGUUACCACAGGGAUAACUGGCUUGUGGCAGCCAAGCGUCCAUAGCGACGUUGCUUUUUGAUCCUUCGAUGUCGGCUCUUCCUAUCAUUGCGAAGCAGAAUUCGCCAAGCGUUGGAUUGUUCACCCACCAAUAGGGAACGUGAGCUGGGUUUAGACCGUCGUGAGACAGGUUAGUUUUACCCUACUGAUGACAAGUCGUUGCGAUAGUAAUCCUGCUCAGUACGAGAGGAACCGCGGGAUCAGACAUUUGGUUCAUGCGCUCGGCUGAAAGGCCGGUGGCGCGAAGCUAGCAUCUGCAAGAUUAUGACUGAACGCCUCUAAGUCAGAAUCUUUUCUAGUCAUUGGCAACGAUAAGUUGCGUCCAGACUCGAUGCGAGGAAACGAUUAGGCUUUGCUAUACGGCGAAGCCAUUAUCAGACCACGGUAGCAGGCAGUAUGGGAUUGUUACGAAAAAGCAAUUUUUUCUCUACCGACUCGGGCAAAUGUUUUUCCACAAUUACCCCGUCAAUUACAAGAAUUUCCCAGAGAC
rnacentral:rRNA from 1 species